AUGAGUAUGAAUGGUACGCAAGAGCUCAAACAACGCUUUUCUUUCUGGUAUGGAGUCUAUGGCAGAGAUUGUAAAAUUGCAGCUCUCUACUUGAUUUUUCUGUUCAGAGAGUUUCAAUCUGAAACAUAUCUCCAACCAAGCAAAGAUAGGAUAGGAUCUGUCUAUAAAAAGGCUUUGUAUUUUGGGUACACGGAUGAUACAUUUCAAACUGCCGUUGAAAAACCAUCCUGGUUGGGAUUUAUCGGUCCAAUCAUAAAAGCAGAGACUGGAGACCUCAUUCAUGUACAUGUGAAAAAUAAUGCUUCCAGAAUGUAUAGUUUCCAUCCUCAUGGAUUAACCUACACUAAAGAUAAUGAAGGCGCUCUCUAUCCAGACAACACUACGGGCCUGCAAAAGGAAGACGACCGUCUAGAGCCAGGGGCAGAAUACACUUACAGGUGGUUUGUAGAAGAAAAUCAGGGGCCUGGUCCCAAUGACAGUAACUGCGUGACACGGAUGUACCACUCCCAUGUAGACACUCUAAAAGAUGUGUCUUCAGGACUUCUCGGACCAAUUCUGACUUGUAAAAGAGGAACCCUGGAUGGAGAUAUGGAAAAAUAUAUCGAUGAGUAUUUCAUUCUGGUGUUUUCUAUAACUGAUGAAAACCAUAGCUGGUAUUUCGAUGACAACAUUCGUACAUACACUGAAGCUGGUCAAGUUAAUGCUAAUGAUCCUGACUUCAAGGAGAGCAAUGUCAUGCGCUCAAUAAAUGGAUACUUGUAUGCAAAUCUACCUGAUCUCACCAUGUGUGCAGAAGACAGGGUCAUGUGGCAUUUUAUCAGCAUGGGUACCCUGUUGGACAUGCACCCCAUCUACUUCCAUGGACAAACUCUGAUAUCUCAGAAUCAUAGAAAAGACACCAUCACCGUCUUCCCUGCCUCCAUGCGUGAUGCCUUCAUGGUGGCCAAAGGUGUUGGAGAGUGGCUGCUGGACUGUCGGGUACACGACAGUAUGCAGGCUUUCUUCAGUGUAAGGGAUUGCCAAAAAUCUUCAGCAGACGUUACGGGGACACAAGUUGUUCAUUAUUACAUUGCUGCUAAAGAAAUUUUUUGGGACUAUGCUCCAUCUGGCAUAAAUUUCUUCAGUGGAAAUAGUUUAACAGAAGCUGGAAGUGAAUCCCACUUCUAUUUUGAACAAGGCCCAACCAGAAUCGGAGGAACUUACAAAAAACUAGUUUACUUUGAAUACACGGAUGCGUCCUUCCAAACCCAGAAGGCAAAAGCAACACACCUUGGACUCCUUGGCCCUGUCAUUAAGGCAGAAGUGGGGCAGAUCAUCCAGGUCACUUUCUAUAACAAUGCUUCCCUGCCGCUCAGUAUUCAUCCCCAUGGAUUGCUUUACAACAAGAACAACGAGGGCUCCUUCUACAGAACACCAGGAGGAGGUACCCCGUCACCCUCCUCGCAUGUAAAUCCUGGUGCAACAUUCGUUUAUACAUGGGAAGUUCCAACAGAUGUGGGACCCACUUCCACAGACCCCAACUGCCUGACCUGGUCAUACUUCUCCUCAGUAGAUUUUAAAACAGACAUCAACAGCGGCCUUAUAGGGCCUCUUCUCGUGUGCAGAAAUGGAAGUCUUGGAGAGGAUGGCAAACAGAAAGGAAUAGACAAAGAAUUUUACCUACUUGCCGCAAUAUUUGAUGAAAAUCGAAGUUAUCUCUUAGAUAAAAAUAUCAGGAUAUUUACCACAGAGCCUGAAAAUGUGGAUACCAAGGAUCCAAACUUCCAAGAGUCUAACAAGAUGUAUUCGAUAAAUGGAUACAUGUAUGGAAAUCUGCCUGGACUAGAUAUGUGCUUAGGAGACAAUGUUUCAUGGCAUGUUCUUAGUGUGGGAUCAAGUCAAGACUUUCAUGGGAUAUAUUUCUCAGGAAAUACCUUCACUUCCUUAGGAUCAAGGGAUGACACCAUAUCUGUGACUCCCCAUAUCUCCCAAACACUUCUUAUGACACCUGAUUCCAUAGGCAUUUUUGAUGUGGUUUGUAUAACCUCAGAGCACUAUAUUGGAGGCAUGAAACAUAAAUACCAAGUGAGGGAGUGUUCAGAGCCAAACCCGGAUCAAACACAGUACCAGGAGGCGAAGGUUAUUUAUAUCGCAGCUGAGGAAAUUGUGUGGGAUUAUUCUCCUAGCAGGGAGUGGGAGAGAGAACUGCAUCGUCUCCAAGGACAGAACAAAACAAACAUAUACUUGGAUAGAUUUGAGACAUAUCUUGGGUCCAAAUACAAGAAGGUCGUAUACCGUCAAUAUGAUGACAUCACAUUCACAAAUCAAACAGUACGAAGUGAAGAUGAAAUACAUCUGGAUAUACUAGGUCCUAUAAUAUUUCUCACUCCUGGUGAGAAAAUCUAUGUUGUCUUUAAAAAUAAAGCCUCAAGACCAUAUUCUAUUCAUGCUCAUGGAGUGAAAACAGACAACCCCACUGUUGUUACAACACAGCCAGGAGAGAUCCGAACAUACGUAUGGCAGAUUCCUGAAAGAUCUGGUCCUACCUCAAAUGACUUUGAGUGCAUACCUUGGUUUUACUAUUCGACCGUGGACAUGGUUAAGGAUCUUAAUAGUGGACUGGUAGGUCCUUUGAUUGUAUGUCGAAAAGACACCAAAGAAAACAUAGUUCACCGUGUUCUCUUCUUCGUGACUUUUGAUGAAAAUGAAUCCUGGUACAUUGAAGAAAACAUCAAUACCUAUUCUCAAGAACCAAACCAAGCAGACAGGAAUGAUAUUACUUUUAAACGAAGCAACCAAAUGCCUGCAAUUAACGGAAGAAUGUUUGCAAAUAACCAAGGCCUGGUAUUUCACGUGGGGAGUGAAGUGAAUUGGUAUCUGAUUGGCAUAGGGGAUGAGUUUGACCUGCACACAGUUCACUUUCACGGCCACAGCUUUGUCUUCACGGACAUGGGAGCGUUUCACUCUGAUGUGUAUGACCUUCCUCCUGGGAGCUAUCAAACUGUAAAAAUGUAUCCAAGAGAUGUUGGAAUAUGGUUAUUUCAUUGCCAUGUCCACCUUCACAUCCGGGCAGGGAUGGAAAGCGUUUACACUGUAAUCGAGUGAAAAG
rnacentral:lncRNA from 1 species